GUGAGGAAUUUUCCGCAAUGGGCGAAAGCCUGACGGAGCAAUGCCGCGUGAAGGAUGAAGGCCUAUGGGUUGUAAACUUCUUUUCUCAGAAAAGAAUUAUGACGGUAUCUUAGGAAUAAGCAUCGGCUAACUCUGUGCCAGCAGCCGCGGUAAGACAGAGGAUGCAAGCGUUAUCCGGAAUGAUUGGGCGUAAAGCGUCUGUAGGUUGUUUAAAAAGUAUUCUGUCAAAGAUUAGGGCUUAACCCUAGAUAGGCAGAAUAAACUUUUAAGCUAGAGUUUGGUAGAGGCAGAGGGAAUUCCCGGUGGAGCGGUGAAAUGCGUAGAUAUCGGGAGGAACACCAAAGGCGAAGGCACUCUGCUGGGCCAAUACUAACACAGAGAGACGAAAGCGAGGGGAGCAAAUGAGAUUAGAAACCCUAGUAGUCC
rnacentral:rRNA from 1 species